ACCUUCUUCUCCUGUAACAUGAAUAUGACUAUGCCGGAGGUCAACAACAAUGACCAGCAGCGUCCGUGGACCACGAGCUAGGUAAUGACCAUGGACAUGGUGACCCACUCGUCACUGCCCCCAGAGUUUCCUGACAGCGCACAUGCCUGCAUGUAAUCUAGUGUGAGGGUGCCAAGCAAUGAUUUAAGGCAAGCUAAUGUGUCACCAAAUGACCAAUCAGAAACUAUAACUGUUUAUUGAAGAGCAGCAAGCAUAAUAGUGUUUACAAAGAUAUAUAACAGCAAGAGGAAGCAUGAACUUUGAAUAUGAUCUCCUUUACAUUUCCUGCUUACUUAAAAGGUGCAAAUGUAACCCAAUAUGUUUAAUCGGUAACUGAAAGAGGCAUGAUAGGUUAAUUAUCAACAUUGAUUCAUGCAUAGUCGAACAUAAUUUGAGCAGAUAAAACAUGAUGUCACAUUUUGUAUUGGAAAUAGACUUAAAUCUGUAACUUGUAGCAUUCACCAUCAAAACUAUGGGAAUGACUCUAUGAAGAAUAUGCUUAAAUACUUAUGAUUGUCUUGGCCAAAAUAAACAAAUUGCAUAGAUACGUACCAAUGAUUUUCACAAUCAGUACCUGGCUAACUGCACUCUAUGCAAUGUGGGAAAUAUGGCAGUGCUGUAUCACACAUGUAGGGAAGUGUGAAGUAAACACAACAUAUGAUUCUGAAUCAAACUUGCAUCUUGUUGUCCGCUCUAAAAACUACCAAAAACACACCAGAUGAAAUACCUGUUGGCAGCAAUGUUUAGCCGAUUAGACCAUAUCGACUCCAUGAACAUCCAGUUCAAUUGGGGUUUCAGGGGCUGCAUGGAGUCCCCCCGGACCUCCUUGAAGCACAUCCUAAAGGAGAAGUUCGUGGAAGCACAGAUGGUGAUCUAGAAGGUUCAGCUCAGCCAAGUGCUCAAGAAGAAAAAUCUAGAACUGUGAGAACCCCAAAAGUUGAAGCAUUGUAAGCCCAGAUUUUGACCCAUAAUUAAAGUUAAAAGAACUUGGUGCUUAAUUUCUUUUGUAUUAGGUACACUUGUAAAUUGUAACGGAUGUACCACGAAACUGAAAUAGAUCAAGUUGGUCUUUGUGUGCCGGCUGGUGCUCUGCUGGUUCUGUAUAUUACCGUGUCAUAUUGACUCAUCAAUAGAGAUAUAGUUACAAUACAAAGGCCCGUACAAAAAAGAUGCAGAUUAUACGAACCUGAGAUUGAUACACCAUGUAGUAGAUUGGAUAUUGCUAUUUGGCCCCAAACAUGGCCGAGUACUUCAAUUCAGAAAAAUCUCUUGUGCCAGCUCGAGGGCUUCCAAUCGGGAUCAAGAUAGCAGCAGGUGCGCAAGUAAUGGAGUCG
rnacentral:lncRNA from 1 species